AAUGAACGCUGGCGGCGUGCCUAAUACAUGCAAGUCGUGCGGCAGCAUGCCCUUCGGGGUGAUGGCGAGCGGCGGACGGCUGAGUAACGCGUAGGAAUCUACCCCAAAGUGAGGGAUAACCUCGAGAAAUCGAGGCUAAUACCGCAUGUGAUCUUCGGAUUAAAGGAUUUAUCCGCUUUGGGAAGAGCCUGCGUAAGAUUAGCUUGUUGGUGAGGUAAUGGCUCACCAAGGCGACGAUCUUUAGCUGGUCUGAGAGGAUGACCAGCCAGACUGGAACUGAGACACGGUCCAGACUCCUACGGGAGGCAGCAGUAAGGAAUCUUCCACAAUGGGCGAAAGCCUGAUGGAGCAACGCCGCGUGCAGGAUGAAGGCCUUCGGGUCGUAAACUGCUUUUAUAAGUGAGGAAUAUGACGGUAACUUAUGAAUAAGGAUCGGCUAACUCCGUGACAGCCGCCGCGGUAA
rnacentral:rRNA from 1 species